rnacentral:misc_RNA from 1 species
GUGAAUCAUCAAAUUUUUGAACGCAAAUUGCACUCUCUUCGGAGAGUAUGCCUGUUUGAGGGUCAGUAUUUAAAAAAAUCGGUGUGUUGUUUCUUUGUGACGCUCCGGUGUUUGGGUCAUCUUUAUUUCAUUUAGGUUUUAAGAGGCUUAAAAUUGACUUUUUUUGCGCAUUUUAGAUGUAUAUAAAUUCUUUUGUUUAUUCGUCUGUCCUUAUGUUCAGAAUCCUAUUAGAUGC